GACGAACGCUUGCGGCGUGCUUAACACAUUCAAGUCGAACGAUGAAGGAGGAGCUUGCUCCUCUGGAUUAGUGGCGAACGGGUGAGUAACACGUGAGCAAUCUGCCCUUGACUCUGGGAUAAGCGAUGGAAACGGCGUCUAAUACCGGAUACGACCCUCGGAGGCAUCUCCUGUGGGUGGAAAGAACUUCGGUCAAGGAUGUGCUCGCGGCCUAGCAGCUUGUUGGUGAGGUAAUGGCUCACCAAGGCGACGACGGGUAGCCGGCCUGAGAGGGUGACCGGCCGCACGAGGACGGAGACACGGCCCAGACGCAUACGGUAGGAAGCGUUGGGGAAUAUUGGACACUGGUUGCAAGCCUGAAGCGGCACCGCCGCGUGAGGGACGACGGCCGUCGGGUUGUAAACCUCUUUUAGCAGGGAAGAAGCGAGAGUGACGGUACCUGCAGAAAAAUCACCGGCUAGCUACGUGCCAGCAGCCGCGGUAACAC
rnacentral:rRNA from 1 species